rnacentral:lncRNA from 1 species
GAUGAUGUGGUAAAUGCAGCACUUUAUUUUGCUAGUGAUGAUUCGAGGUAUGUGAGUGGCCAUAAUUUGCUCAUAGAUGGAGGAUUCAGCAUUGUUAAUCCAUCCUUUCACAUGUUUCAGUAUUCAGAUUCUUGAUUUUGUUUACUACCAUGAAGCAAUAAUAAUUAUGAAGAAGUUAGAAUAAGGGAUCAACUUGGCUUUGAUUGUAAUUUUAUAUUGUUGCUACAAAUGUUUUGGAUUCUUCUGUAUCUUAUGCUUGGGUUUGUACCUAUGGGUGUGGUUAUCAUGCAUAAGCCUAACUUAUGCACCAUGCAUAAGCCUGCAUUAAUCCAACCCAUUAUGCACCUAGCCCAAUAGAAUUGCUUCCUACAUCCCAAAAGAAUUGCUUCCUACACCAUGCAAGCAAACAAGACAAAACAACACACAUCACCGUCUUCCAACAAACGGUAACAAACACGACCAAACUUCCACCUUCGCAAAUCACGCCAGAAGCAAACUUCCACCACCGGAAACCGUUCCACCACUGGAAACCGCAUUCACCAUAACCGCAUUCACGUCGGAAACAACAUUCACCACCGGAAGCAAAACACGUCGGAACGGUAACAAUCACGUCGCAAACUUCCACCACUGCAAAUCACGUAGGAAACAAACUUCCAU